GAUGAACGCUGGCGGCGUGCCUAAUACAUGCAAGUCGAGCGAACGGACGCGAAGCUUGCUUCUCUGAUGUUAGCGGCGGACGGGUGAGUAACACGUGGAUAACCUACCUAUAAGACUGGGAUAACUUCGGGAAACCGGAGCUAAUACCGGAUAAUAUUUUGAACCGCAUGGUUCAAAAGUGAAAGACGGUCUUGCUGUCACUUAUAGAUGGAUCCGCGCUGCAUUAGCUAGUUGGUAAGGUAACGGCUUACCAAGGCAACGAUGCAUAGCCGACCUGAGAGAGUGAUAGGCCACACUGGAAGUGAGACACGGUCCAGACUCCUGCGGGAGGCAGCAGAAGGGAAUCGUCCGCAAUGGGCGAAAGCAUGACGGAGCAACGCCGCGUGAGAGAUGAAGGUCUUCGGAUCGUAAAACUCUGUUAUUAGGGAAGAACAUAUGUGUAAGUAACUGUGCACAUCUUGACGGUACCUAAUCAGAAAGCCACGGCUAACUACGUG
rnacentral:rRNA from 1 species